AUAUAUUCUAGUAGUAGUACAUUUGUACUACCAUCUCACAUGGCCGACAACCCCACUAAAUUCACCACUUUGCAUCUCACAAAAACUAAACGCUUCUUCUUCUCUAUUAUUCUUACCCAUUUAUUCAUCCAAAUUGAUAAUUUUAUUGAAAUAAAUAUAUUCAAAAUGAAGUACCAAACCAUCUAGUUUUUGGAGAAAUAAAAAUGAAGUGAUUUGGGGAGUCAACUUUAGAAGGACAAAAGCAAUCACGAUAUAAAAAUAGUUUACUUUUCAAUUUUAUUUUUCUAAAAUGCAAACAAUAUAUUCCAUUUUGAGAUUAUGUUCCAUAUUCACAAGAUAUUCCUUUUAUCUGCCUGCCUACCUAUCUACUAUAUAGCCAUUAAAUCAAUCAACCUGUGUUCAAAAGGAAUACUGUUUUUGUGUCGAAACACUUUUAAGCUUUCUUUUGAUCAUAAAAAACUAAAACGUUGAAAAAUAAAAGUAAUUCAAAAGUAAGAUGAUUUUGUUGUUUAUUGAUAGUAGAAAUUUAUGUCAACAUACUUUUUGAAUAUAUUGAAAUGAGGAUUAUUAGAUCCACAUGCUAGAUGAGUUUAGACAAUAUAAAACUAUAAAAUUAUGUAGAGUAACAUGUAUCUAUUCUUUUAUUGGAUGAGGGAGAUAAUAAAGAAACGAUUAUUAUAUAAUUUGUCUUUAAUAAAACUGGUGGUGCAUUUGCUUCGUUUAAACAUGUUUAAUCCAAAAUUAUUAAUAAUAGUUCUGAUUUAAUUAGGAAUUGUUCAUCAUCGUGGGUAUGGACGCAAAAUCAAAGCUUGCAAAUGUUGUUUCCAAGCCGUUUUCAAUAUCUAAUUGAUUGAUCAACAUCCAUUAAUUUUCUUUUUUUCUAAUUUGAAAUAUUGGGUUGCAGUAUAAGGAUAAAUCAAAAUUGUGUAUAUCUUAAUAUUUUUAUCUCUAUAAAAUCUUCUGAUUUAUUCAUAAUUUUAAUACAUCGAAUGAAAAAUAUCUGUCAUUUUCUUACUAUUUUUUAUAAGUUUCAUUUAGUUCAAUUGAUUCGAAGAUCUGUACAAUUUUAUUAAAUAAAUUUUUUUUUUUUUUUUUUACUGAAAACGAUUUUUAGUUAGGUCUUUUGGAUGUCAAUAAAUAUUAAGCAUCCUAACUCAACAAAUGGAUAAAGUAUUUAUAUCACUUGACUGCAUAUAAAAAAGAUAUUGAAAAACUAUUUAAAAUAUUUUUUGACAUAAAUCUCUAAGAACAAAUUUUUAUAAAGUUAUUAAGACAUAAACUUUUAUUGUUGAAUGAUAAAACAUAUAUUGACAAACAUUAUGUUAGUUGAAUCAAUAAUCCAAAGGGUUGACAACUUUAUGAGCACACUCAUUAUUUAUAAGGUUGUUUCCACUAGGGAUGUGUUGCAUUAGUGUGAGUUUUUUUAAUUUAUUUAUGGAUUUUGCUGACAAGUGUGUUUGGAGUAUUUAUUAAUAGAUAAAAAAUAGUUACUUUAUUUUAAAAAUAGUAAAAUUUGAACUAUAACAAAUUUAAAUACAUAACUUUUAAUAUAUUUUUCAUGUAAAAUUGAUAUAUUUAAAUCAUUAAUUAAUGUAUUUGGAGCACAAUUAGUAUUUGUCAUUGACAUAAAUUUAAAUAUGAGUGAAUACUAUUGAUUGAUUUUCAAAGCAUAAAAAAAUUAAUUUAAGAAAUUUAUUGCAUAGACUCUUGAAAUGUCAAGAGUAAUAAUAGAACUAAUGAUCCUAAACCAUAAAAAAGUUUAAAACAUUGAAAAUUUAAGUCAUAUUUUUUAUAUACGUAAUAUUAACUCGAAACUAUUAUUUACAUUUAUUCUUUUAACAACUUUACCCAUUCAUUACAGUUAAUAACUGUAUCUUCUUAAUAGAGGUGUAUUUUUUUUUGGGUCAAAAACAAAUUUCCUAAUGUCGUACUAAAAUUAUAUUGGGCCCCACUUCUAAUUUUAAUGCAAAUGACACUAGAGAACCAUAUCACAAGAUUUUAGUACACACUAAUUUACUCUAAGGAAAAGGAGGAAUUAAAUGAAAUAUUUUCUCAAGUGAAACAUGAACAAAAGUUGUCAAAUGUAGGAUGGACCACACCAAAAUCAGAAAGAAAAAAAAUUAAAGCAUGAAAAUGUUUAUUGACUUAUUAUUUGACAUCAUCCACACCUUUAAACUAUGCCCCAUUGAAGGAAUAGUUGUGAUAUGAUUCUUAUGCCAUUAAAGUAGUUAUUGUUUACAUCCCUCUCUCAACCACUUCAACCUUGAUAUUUGGUUUUAUAUCUGGAAUGAGAAUGAAUUAUCAUCUCAUGUAUUUUUCCACUGUAAAUGACUUUCUCAUAUAAAAUGGC
rnacentral:lncRNA from 1 species